UAGUCCACGCAGUAAACGAUGAUAACUCGUUGUCGGCGAUACACAGUCGGUGACUAAGCGAAAGCGAUAAGUUAUCCACCUGGGGAGUACGUUCGCAAGAAUGAAACUCAAAGGAAUUGACGGGGGCCCGCACAAGCGGAGGAACAUGUGGUUUAAUUCGAUGAUACGCGAGGAACCUUACCCGGGCUUGAAAGUUAGUGACGGACCAAGAGAUUGGUCUUCCCUUCGGGGCACGAAACUAGGUGCUGCAUGGUUGUCGUCAGCUCGUGCCGUGAGGUGUCGGGUUAAGUCCCAUAACGAGCGCAACCCCUACUGCUAGUUGCCAUCAGGUCAUGCUGGGCACUCUAGCGGGACUGCCGGUGUAAGCCGAGAGGAAGGUGGGGAUGACGUCAAAUCAGCACGGCCCUUACGUCCGGGGGCCACACACGUGUUACAAUGGUAGGGUACAGAGGGGCAGGC
rnacentral:rRNA from 1 species